AGGGUUUUGUGCCCAGAUUUACGCUUAGAGGCCUAGAGGGAACCAGAUCGGAGGGUUUUCUUUUUUCGGCCACCGCAUACGGUAGUACCGGCACGGUGGCUGACGACCGGCCGAUGACCGAACAGGAGGCCGGAUAUCAGGGGAGGGGAGAGUUCUUUUAGAGUUCUUUUUCGUUUUUUUUUUUGAAAACUGUUUUAAAAUGAAUUUUGGAAUGAUAAUUCGGCUUAAAUAGCUUCUUCAAAACGACAGCGUUUUGGACAUGGGUCGACCCGAGUUCGACCCGAUCCGGCCUAGAGUCCGCGCGUUUUUGAGCGGAGGGGCAAAUUGCGCUUUUGGCCCAUCCGCC
rnacentral:lncRNA from 1 species